rnacentral:rRNA from 1 species
AUUGAACGCUGGCGGCAGGCCUAACACAUGCAAGUCGAGCGGAGAGGCGGACGGGUGAGUAAUGCCGAGGAAGCUGCCUGGUAGUGGGGGAUAACGUACGGAAACGUGCCCUAAUACAGCAUACUAUCAGAGGCGACUAGGUCGGAUGAGCUAGAUGGUGGGGUAAAGGCUUACCAAGGCGACGAUCCGUAACUGGGCUGAGAGGAUGAUCAGUCACACUGGGACUGAGACACGGUCCAGACUCCUACGUGAGGCAGCAGUGGGGAAUAUUGGACAAUGGGCGAAAGCCUGAUCCAGCCAUGCCGCGUGGGUGAAGAAGGUUUUCGGAUUGUAAAGCACUUUAAGUUGGGAAGCGUUACCAACCGAAUAAGCACCGGCUAACUACGUGCCAGCCGCCGCGGUAAUUC